GAUUCUCUGGGCAUGCUCCAACUGCUAUGCUAGUAUAAAGGAGAGCAGCCCAGCUCACUUUGGGGCUGACCACCAAGGAGGAAGGACGCUUAGUGGAGGCUUCAGCCCAGGAGCCAUUACAGCCCUUGCCUGCAGGUGCCAGAGAUUCCAAGACACAGACUGAAGACCUGUUGCCUACAGCUGACUGACUAGAGUCGGAGUCCCAGGGAGUUACCUGUGCCGUGGAGACCCUGAUGUCAUAUGGACUGCAGUUUCAGGAAGCCUGCAAAUAACCAUUACCAAAACAACUUGUCAUCAAGGGCAGGAAAGGGGUGUAGUCACAGCCACACAGAUGAUGUUGAACUGCCAGUGACGGAGUCUCAUGUUCCUGUGCCACCUGAGGUAUGCAUGAAAAUAUCACCACG